rnacentral:rRNA from 1 species
AAAAACACAGGUCCGUGCGAAGUUGCAAAACGAUGUAUACGGACUGACGCCUGCCCGGUGCUGGAAGGUUAAGAGGAGUGCUUAGCGGAAACGCGAAGGUAUGAAUUGAAGCCCCAGUAAACGGCGGCCGUAACAAUAACGGUCCUAAGGUAGCGAAAUUCCUUGUCGGGUAAGUUCCGACCUGCACGAAUGGUGUAAUGAUGGCCAGGCUGUCUCCAGCAGAGACUCAGUGAAAUUGAAAUCGCGGUGAAGAUGCCGUGUACCCGCGGCUAGACGGAAAGACCCCGUGAACCUUUACUAUAGCUUUGCACUGGACUUUGAAUUUGCUUGUGUAGGAUAGGUGGGAGGCUUUGAAGCAGGCAC